CCCUUAGAUGCUCUGGGCCGCACGCGCGCUACACUGGUCGAUGCAACGAGUUUCUUUCCUUGGCCGACAGGCCUGGGCAAUCUUUGAACAUCGAUCGUGAUCGGGAUAGAUUCUUGUAAUUUUUGAUCUUAAACGAGGAAUUCCUAGUAAACGCAAGUCAUCAGCUUGCAUUGAUUACGUCCCUGCCCUUUGUACACACCGCCCGUCGCACCUACCGAUUGAACGUUUUAGUGAGGUACUCGGACUGAGCCUCAGAAGAUUCACGUCUUUUGUGCUGCUCGGGAAGAUUCCCAAACUUGAGCGUUUAGAGGAAGUAAAAGUCGUAACA
rnacentral:rRNA from 1 species